GAUGAACGCUGGCGGCGUGCCUAAUACAUGCAAGUCGAGCGAACGGACGAGAAGCUUGCUUCUCUGAUGUUAGCGGCGGACGGGUGAGUAACACGUGGAUAACCUACCUAUAAGACUGGGAUAACUUCGGGAAACCGGAGCUAAUACCGGAUAAUAUUUUGAACCGCAUGGUUCAAAAGUGAAAGACGGUCUUGCUGUCACUUAUAGAUGGAUCCGCGCUGCAUUAGCUAGUUGGUAAGGUAACGGCUUACCAAGGCAACGAUGCAUAGCCGACCUGAGAGGGUGAUCGGCCACACUGGAACUGAGACACGGUCCAGACUCCUACGGGAGGCAGCAGUAGGGAAUCUUCCGCAAUGGGCGAAAGCCUGACGGAGCAACGCCGCGUGAGUGAUGAAGGUCUUCGGAUCGUAAAACUCUGUUAUUAGGGAAGAACAUAUGUGUAAGUAACUGUGCACAUCUUGACGGUACCUAAUCAGAAAGCCAUGGCUAACUACGUG
rnacentral:rRNA from 1 species